rnacentral:rRNA from 1 species
AGAGUUUGAUCCUGGCUCAGAGCGAACGCUGGCGGCGUGCUUAACACAUGCAAGUCGAACGCGCAGCAUUCUGUAGCAAUACAGGGUGUGGGCGCGUGGCGAACGGGUGCGUAACACGUGGAUAACCUUCCUUGAGGUGGGGAAUAACCCAGUGAAAAUUGGGCUAAUACCGCAUAACAUCGCGAUGGCACAUGCUGUUGCGAUCAAAGGCGCAAGUCGCCACAAGAGGGAUCCGCGGCCGAUUAGCUUGUUGGCGAGGUAAUGGCUCACCAAGGCAAUGAUCGGUAGCCGGACUGAGAGGUUGGCCGGCCACACUGGAACUGAGACACGGUCCAGACUCCUACGGGAGGCAGCAGUGGGGAAUCUUGCACAAUGGACGAAAGUCUGAUGCAGCAACGCCGCGUGGGGGAUGAAGCUUCUCGGAGUGUAAACCCCUUUCGACCCGGAAGAAUGCCCGCAAGGGUAUGACGGUACGGGUAUAAGAAGCCCCGGCUAACUACGUGCCAGCAGCCGCGGUAAUACGUAGGGGGCCAGCGUUGCUCGGAAUUACUGGGCGUAAAGGGUCCGUAGGCGGUGUAGCAAGUCGAUAGUGAAAUCUCUGGGCUUAACCCAGAGGCUGCUAACGAAACUGCUGUGCUAGAGUGUGAGAGAGGCGAGUGGAAUUACGGGUGUAGCGGUGAAAUGCGUAGAUAUCCGUAGGAACAUCCGAGGCGAAGGCGGCUCGCUGGAUCACAACUGACGCUGAGGGACGAAAGCUAGGGGAGCAAACAGGAUUAGAUACCCCCGUAGUCC